UCGAGGAUCUUUCGCAAUGGGCGAAAGCCUGACGGAGCGACGCUGUGUGAGUGAUGAAGGCCUUCGGGUCGUAAAACUCUUUUGCCUGUGAACAAGAAAGAUUUGUGAAUAACAAGUCAAUUUGAGAGUAGCAGGAGAAAAAGCACCGGCUAACUACGUGCCAGCAGCUGCGGUAAUACGUAGGGUGCAAGCAUUAAUCGGAAUUAUUGGGCGUAAAGGGCGCGUAGGCGGAUGGAUAAGUCAGAUGUGAAAUACCAAAGCUCAACUUUGGUGCUGCAUUUGAAACUGUCUUUCUUGAGGAUUGACGGAGAAAGGGGAAUUCCACGUGUAGCGGUGAAAUGCGUAGAUACGUGGAGGAACACCGGUGGCGAAAGCGCCUUUCUAGUUUUUACCUGACGCUGAGGCGCGAGAGCAAGGGGAGCAAACAGGAUUAGAUACCCCCGUAGUCC
rnacentral:rRNA from 1 species